rnacentral:rRNA from 1 species
GUGCCAGCAGCCGCGGUAAUACGUAGGUGGCGAGCGUUAUCCGGAAUGAUUGGGCGUAAAGGGUGCGUAGGCGGCAAGAUAAGUCUGAAGUCAAAGCUGGCAGCUCAACUGUCAUACGCUUUGGAAACUGUCUGGCUAGAGUGCAGAAGAGGGUGAUGGAACUCCAUGUGUAGCGGUAAAAUGCGUAGAUAUAUGGAAGAACACCGGUGGCGAAGGCGGUCACCUGGUCUGGUAACUGACGCUGAGGCACGAAAGCGUGGGGAGCAAAUAGGAUUAGAUACCCUAGUAGUCCACGCCGUAAACGAUGAGAACUAAGUGUUGGGGGAAUAACUCAGUGCUGCAGUUAACGCAAUAAGUUCUCCGCCUGGGGAGUAUGUACGCAAGUAUGAAACUCAAAGGAAUUGACGGGGGCCCGCACAAGCGGUGGAGUAUGUUGGUUUAAUUCGAAGCAACGCGAAGAACCUUUACCAGGCCUUGACAUCCCUCGCAAAGAUAUAGAGAUAUAUUGGAGGCUAACGAGGAGACAGGUGGUGCAUGGUUGUCGUCAGCUCGUGUCGUGAGAUGUUGGGUUAAGUCCCGCAACGAGCGCAACCCUUGUGAUAUGUUACCCAGUAUUAAGUUAGGGGACUCAUAUCAGACUGCCGGUGACAAAUCCGGAGGAAGGUGGGGAUGACGUCAAAUCAUCAUGCCCCUUAUGGCCUGGGCUACACACGUACUACAAUGGCAGCUACAAAGAGCAGCGACAUCGUGAGAUGAAGCGAAUCUCGUAAAGGCUGUCUCAGUUCGGAUUGAAGUCUGCAACCCGACUUCAUGAAGUUGGAAUCGCUAGUAAUCGCGAAUCAGCAUGUCGCGGUGAAUACGUUCUCGGGCCUUGUACACACCGCCCGU